GAUGAACGCUGGCGGCGUGCCUAAUACAUGCAAGUCGACCGAACGGACGAGAAGCUUGCUUCUCUGAUGUUAGCGGCGGACGGGUGAGUAACACGUGGAUAACCUACCUAUAAGACUGGGAUAACUUCGGGAAACCGGAGCUAAUACCGGAUAAUAUUUUGAACCGCAUGAUUCAAAAGUGAAAGACGGUCUUGCUGUCACUUAUAGAUGGAUCCGCGCUGCAUUAGCUAGUUGGUAAGGUAACGGCUUACCAAGGCAACGAUGCAUAGCCGACCUGAGAGGGUGAUCGGCCACACUGGAACUGAGACACGGUCCAGACUCCUACGGGAGGCAGCAGUAGGGAAUCUUCCGCAAUGGGCGAAAGCCUGACGGAGCAACGCCGCGUGAGUGAUGAAGGUCUUCGGAUCGUAAAACUCUGUUAUUAGGGAAGAACAUAUGUGUAAGUAACUGUGCACAUCUUGACGGUACCUAAUCAGAAAGCCACGGCUAACUACGUG
rnacentral:rRNA from 1 species